CCUGCUGCCAGAGCUGUCCCUGCACCUGCGUGGGGCUGCCUGGACCACGAGGCCCUGGUGGCACCCCCGGGGGCAAGGGGGUGACAGGCAGCCAGGGACGUGCUGGAGAUGAAGGAGAGCAUGGACACAGCGGGGAGCAGGGGCCACGAGGGCUCCUUGGCAGCCGAGGGGUGCAGGGCUGCCCAGGACAGUGUGGACCCAAGGGCUCCGUGGGUCACCCUGGGGAGCAGGUAG